rnacentral:rRNA from 1 species
GAUGAACGCUGGCGGCGUGCCUAAUACAUGCAAGUCGAGCGAACGGACGAGAAGCUUGCUUCUCUGAUGUUAGCGGCGGACGGGUGAGUAACACGUGGAUAACCUACCUAUAAGACUGGGAUAACUUCGGGAAACCGUAGCUAAUACCGGAUAAUAUUUUGAACCGCAUGGUUCAAAAGUGAAAGACGGUCUUGCUGUCACUUAUAGAUGGAUCCGCGCUGCAUUAGCUAGUUGGUAAGGUAACGGCUUACCAAGGAAACGAUGCAUAGCCGACCUGAGAGGGUGAUCGGCCACACUGGAACUGAGACACGGUCCAGACUCCUACGGGAGGCAGCAGUAGGGAAUCUCCCGCAAUGGGCGAAAGCCUGACGGAGCAACGCCGCGUGAGUGAUGAAGGUCUUCGGAUCGUAAAACUCUGUUAUUAGGGAAGAACAUAUGUGUAAGUAACUGUGCACAUCUUGACGGUACCUAAUCAGAAAGCCACGGCUAACUACGUG